rnacentral:RNase_P_RNA from 1 species
GAUAGCUAGAUGGUCGCUGCGUGCUGACGAGAAGCACGGAGAGGAAAGUCCGAGCAUCAAAAGAACAUGGUGCCAGUUAACGGCUGGUGAAGGCGACUUCAAGGAUAGUGCAACAGAAAUAGACUUCCCGAAAGGGUAAAGGUGGAAAGGUAGAGUAAGAGCCUACCGGACGGUUGGUAACAAUCGUUGCUCUGUAAACCCCACUUGAUGCAAGAUUAAGUUUGAACAAAUGUGUGUUCUUUCACGUUCAACAAAAGUAUCGCUAGAACCUGUUGGCGACAGCAGGUCUGGAUAGAUGACCAUCCACGACAGAACUCGGCUUACAGGCUGUCUG